rnacentral:rRNA from 1 species
GUGGGGAAUCUUGCGCAAUGCGCGAAAGCGUGACGCAGCAACGCCGCGUGGAGGAAGACGGUCUUCGGAUUGUAAACUCCUUUCAGUUGGGACGAAGCUCAAAGGGUUAAUAGCUCGAUGGAGUGACGGUACCUUCAGAAGAAGCCCCGGCUAACUACGUGCCAGCAGCCGCGGUAAUACGUAGGGGGCUAGCGUUGUCCGGAAUCAUUGGGCGUAAAGAGCGUGUAGGCGGUCCGGUAAGUCCGCUGUGAAAGUCGGGGGCUCAACCCUCGAAUGCCGGUGGAUACUGUCGGGCUAGAGUGCGGAAGAGGCGAGUGGAAUUCCUGGUGUAGCGGUGAAAUGCGCAGAUAUCAGGAGGAACACCUAUUGCGAAGGCAGCUCGCUGGGACGUAACUGACGCUGAGACGCGAAAGCGUGGGGAGCAAACAGGAUUAGAAACCCUAGUAGUCC